CCCAGGGCUGCGCUUCACUCCACCCUGGGCUAUCAUAUCGCGCCCCUUUGGGGCU
rnacentral:sRNA from 1 species